rnacentral:rRNA from 1 species
AUGAACCAGCCUGACCAGAUAGCAGCACCAAGAGAAGAGAGAUUGCUGCACAGUGAUGCCCAUAGGCAGCACCACUGGACUCCAAGAGCCAUUGCCAGCCGAGCACGACAACCCAGAUCAAACAUGAGGACACUGGAUACACCAGCGAUGCCUUCAAGAAGGGAAUGGACACACACGAGCGCCCUCAUGGCUGAGCUUUCGCUCGAUCCAUGUAUAGCGCAAGCAACCAAGAGAGCGAGGAGCCGAAGCCUGCUCGGAGUAGUAUCUCCACAGCGACACCUUCAACAAGAACGUAGUGCCAGUCACUCUCGAGCAACUCUGGAGGCACAGACGCCGCCACCCAAAAACUUCUGCCCACCACCAAAUCCCUCCUCUGCUGGAGAAGGCUGA